GACGAACGCUGGCGGCGUGCUUAACACAUGCAAGUCGAACGGAAAGGCCCUGCUUUUGUGGGCUGCUCGGUUGGCGAACGGGUGAGUAACACGUGAGUAACCGGCCCUUCACUUUGGGAUAAGUUCAGGAAACUGGGGCUAAUACAGGAUAGGAGCUGCUGCUGCAUGGUGGGGGUUGGAAAGUUUCGUCGGUUGGGGAUGGACUCGCGGCUUAUCAGCUUGUUGGUGGGGUAGUGGUUUACCAAGGCUUUGACGGGUAGCCGGCCUGAGAGGGUGACCGGCCACCAUGGGCCUGAGAUACGGCCCAGACUCCUACGGUAGGCAACGGUGGGGAAUCUUACACAAUGGGACGGAGCCUGAUGCAGCAACGCCGCGUGCGGGAUGACGUCCUUUGGGUUGUAAACCGCUUUCGCCUGUGACGAAGCGUGAGUGACGGUACUGGAUAAAGAAGCACCGGCUAACUACGUG
rnacentral:rRNA from 1 species